AUGGCAAAAAUGGCUUCAACACAAGUCAAAUUCUCAUUGUUUGCAGUUUUGUUCAUUGUUUUGGCUAUGGUGGUUGCUGCUCAUGAAGGUCAUCAUCACAUGUCUCCUGCAGAAGCACCUUCUAGUUAUGCAAGCAGCCUCAAUUAUCAUGUAAUUGCUGGAAUUGUUCCUAUUUUCAUUGCAAUUUUCUUUGCCAGAAAUGGUCUUUAA